GCCAGACUCCUACGGGAGGCAGCAGUGGGGAAUAUUGCACAAUGGGGGAAACCCUGAUGCAGCGACGCCGCGUGAGUGAAGAAGUAUUUCGGUAUGUAAAGCUCUCUCAGCAGGGAAGAAAAUGACGGUACCUGACCGAGAAGCCCCGGCUAACUACGUGCCAGCAGCCGCGGUAAUACGUAGGGGGCAAGCGUUAUCCGGAUUUACUGGGUGUAAAGGGAGCGUAGACGGCGAUGCAAGUCAGAAGUGAAAGCCCGGGGCUCAACUCCGGGACUGCUUUUGAAACUGUGUAACUGGAGUGCAGGAGAGGUAAGCGGAAUUCCUGGUGUAGCGGUGAAAUGCGUAGAUAUCAGGAGGAACACCAGUGGCGAAGGCGGCUUACUGGACUGUAACUGACGUUGAGGCUCGAAGGCGUGGGGAGCAAACAGGAUUAGAUACCCGAGUAUU
rnacentral:rRNA from 1 species